CAACCAUCUUCAUUGAGUUUUAAAGCUGAUAGGAAACGCCUUUUCAAUAUGAUUAAUGAAGUGCCCACAAUAUUUGAAGUUGUUACUGGUGCAGC